rnacentral:rRNA from 1 species
GAUGAACGCUGACAGAAUGCUUAACACAUGCAAGUCAACCUUUGGCUGACGGGCGAGUAACGCGUAAAGAACUUGCCUCACGUAUAGGGACAACAUUCUGAAACGAAUGCUAAUACCUGAUACUGUGAGAGGGCUUUGGGUCCCAUUAGCUAGUUGGAGAGGUAACGGCUCAACUAGGCGAUGAUGGGUAGCCGGCCUGUGAGGGUGAUCGGCCACAAGGGGAAUGGGAGACGGUCCUUAGUAAUACGGGAGGCAGCGGUGAGGAAUGAUGGACAAUGGACCAAGGUCUGAGCAAGCAAUUCGGUGUGAACGAUGAAGUUUUCGGAAUGAAAAGUGUUUUCAGUUGGGAAGCGGUACCAACAGAAGAAGUGACGGCUAAAUACGUGCCAGCAGCCGCGGUAAUAC